CUGCUUUUCUACAGCAAAGGGGGAAGCGCUGCUAACUUACUUUUUCCAUGAUCUAUCAUGGAAAAAUUAAGAUAUGGAAGACAAAUUUUAACCAGAACUAGGAAAGCAAGAUAACUCCAGGGGUAAAUUCCGUGGUCCUCACACUGCCUCCAGAGCCCCGCUGGAUGGAGAGAGGGUCUGCCGCAAACUCAGAGGACCCCAGCCCAGGAAGGCUCCUGCCACCAGAAAAUAAAUUAAGGUAACUCCUGAUCGCAGGCCAUGGAAGGCAAGGGAAAGAAGGCUUCUUGCCUAGCAUCAAAUACUGUAAAUGGAUCAAGUUGGUUUGCUCCUGAUUCUAAGAGCAAUAAAAUAAAGGUAACCUUUUCAUGCUUAAAAGUAGUCUGCCUUUUAAAAAUAUGCUCAUGGGGACUGAAGAGACAUACG
rnacentral:lncRNA from 1 species